GAAACUCUAUUUCAAAACCCGUUUCCCUUCUAUCGAAGCUAUUGAUUCCUCCCCCUCUUCUUCUAGCUAUUGGAUUUUCCUCUCUCUUCGAAUUAGGUGAGAUGCAAAGCUUUCGAAACGAUGGUGAUGGUCAUCCGGCCUCUCAGCGCCAUUGUCCCGCUGGCAGUCCGUGUGGGGGACCUGACAGUGCCCGGAAGCUAACAAUGAAGGAUGCCCUAGACUAUCUGAGGGCAGCGAAGAAAAUAUUUCGAGAUAGAAGGGAGAAAUACGAUGAGCUUCUCCAACUCAUGAAAGAUUUCAAGGCCCAAAGGAUCAACACCACUUCUGUUGUAUGGAGGGUGAAAGUUUUAUUAAAAGGGUACCCAAAACUCAUCUUGGGUUUCAAUACCUUCUUGCCCAAAGGAUACGAGAUUACCCUUGAUAAUGAGACUCCGACAGAAAAGAUCGCGAUAACUUUUGUCAACCGAGUCAAGACUCGGUUCCAGCAUGAUGAGCAAGUUUACAUAUCGUUCUUAGAAAUUCUAAGUAUGCACGGAAAGGAGCGCAUCUCCAUUAGUGAUGUCUACGAAAAGGUAGCCUUGCUUUUUAAGGAACAUCAAGAUUUGCUAGAGGAUUUUGCAAGCAUCCUACCUGAGGCUGCUGGGGUGGAUCCCGUGCAGCAUGCUCCGGUCAGAAGAAAUUCAUCUGGAAAUUCAAUGCCUCUGGUAGAGAGGAGCUCGGCUAUGCCCAUGGUGAGGCAAGUUCAUGGUGAAGAGAAGGGGAGAGCUGUGAAUUACCUUGCUGAUCGCGAUCUAGGUGUUGAUGGUCCUACUCCAGAUGGUAAAGCAAUAAUGGAAGUUGACAAGGUCCAGAGGAAACACAAGCGGGAUGAUAAAGAUUUGGACUGUGACAGCAAAGAUUUAGAUAAUAUGCAGCAGUUCCCUCAAAAACGGAUGUCUGCUUGGAGGGGUGAUGAUUGCAUUGCUGAGCAACUACAAAGUGGGGAAGGAGCCGAAAUCUUUGGAAUGCAUCCCACUUCAGGCUUUUCCUUCAAUGAUAAAAGUGCCUUCAGAGGGACCAGAAAGGGUCUGAACAGUUGGACUGAACCGCCAACAAAAAUGGGUCAAGAAUCUCUUGGGAAUGGAGGAUGUUUGGCUACACAUGUGAGGGUAGAUGACAGGGGUCAGGAAAGGGAUUGUGAAAGAGAUGAUAGGGAGAAGGAUAGAGACAGUGAAAGGGAGAGAGAUACAGAGUGGAAGCAGUUUGACAAAAGUGUUGCCAAAGAUUCUGCACUUCCCAAACCAAUCUCAGAGCUUGACCUCUCGAACUGUCAGAGCUGGAACCCUAGUUAUCAUCUUCUUCCGGAGAAUCAUCCAAGGCCUACAACUACCCACCGGACAGAACUUGAGGCAUCUGUACUGAAUGACGAUUGGGUAUCAGUGACAACUGCAAGUGGUGAUUGUGGCAAAAAACAAUAUGAUGAAAUUCUAUUUAGAUUUGAAGAUGAUAGGUUUGAGCUGGACAUGCUGCUAGGGUCACUUAUUUCAACUAUCAAGCAUGUCGAAGAUUUAAAAGAAAAAAUUGAUAAUAUGAUCAAGCCAGACAGUCAAAUCCAUAUCAAGGACCACUUUACUGUUCUCAAUCUAAGAUGCAUCGAACGAUUAUAUGGUGGUCAUGGGCUGCAUCUGUUAGAUGUUGUACUACGUGAGAAGCCGUGUGCUGCAUUGCCUGUUAUAUUAACUCGCUUGAAGCAGAAACUAGAAGAGUGUUUAAGACGUCGUUCAGAUUUAAAUAAAAUGUGGGCUGAGGCUAGGCUAAGAAUUAUCCCAGAUCAGCUGACCACCAUAAUGUCUAUGUCAAGCAACAGGAUAGAAAGAGCUUAAGCACAAAAGGUUUUGAAAAGAAUUCUGCAUACUUUAUCAAAUUUCACCCACGAUUCAUCACCAUCAAUCAGAACUCUGUCUGGAUUGUACUUCCACACAAGCUCAUUGGCUAAGAUAACGGAAUCAGCGGGAAGAAAGGAAAAGAGGAUGAUGUGCUUCUUGCUAUAGCUGCUUGGCUGCUGGGCAGCAUCACAGAGAAACACACCUCAUGGCGGAGAAACAGAAGAUGUGGUAAAAGAUACAAAUCAGGCUGUACAUGUAAGUGCGGGCAGCAUAAGAUAAGUGACGGCUUUCCUGGUGUUGAUGUUACCAAGUCAAAUUCAAAGCAUCUACCCACAGUUACAAUGGCAGUGACAGCAUUCUAGCAGAAGCAGCUAGUUACUGUUAGUGUUACUGUAGUGUAAGGUUUGUUAAACAAGGAUCCUUACUCUUGCUCCGGUGGUAGACUCCCAGGAGUUUCAACACCCGGUCAAGGGUUCAAGUAUCCAUAGGUGGUGAAAUCCCACUACAACGUGAGUGUGUAGGGGUGUGUGCGCGUGUGUAUUAAAAAAAAAGGCUUGUUAAACAAGAUUGUUCUUAAGAUGUUGAUUGACUUGUACAUUGGAAUUAUGCCUUUUGUAGUGCCUUGUGGCAUGAAAGAAUGUGAAGAAUAGUGUUUUUCCAGCAGACGAGGUGUCAGGAGUCUGUGCAAGCUGCUUGUAACGAAUGGUUGAUGGAUUCUAAUGCCUAGAUUUUAGAGAAGAAGAAAGUCUGCCGCACCAAGUUAUUUAUUUA